GACAGAGGGUGCAAACGUUGCUCGGAAUUACUGGGCGUAAAGCGCGUGUAGGCGGGCUUGCAAGUCAGAUGUGAAAUCCCUGGGCUCAACCCAGGAACUGCAUUUGAAACUGCAAGCCUAGAGUAUCGGAGAGGAAAGCGGAAUUCCUGGUGUAGAGGUGAAAUUCGUAGAUAUCAGGAGGAACACCGGUGGCGAAGGCGGCUUUCUGGACGAUAACUGACGCUGAGACGCGAAAGCGUGGGGAGCAAACAGG
rnacentral:rRNA from 1 species